rnacentral:rRNA from 1 species
GUCUCCCUACGGGAGGCAGCAGUCGGGAAUAUUGCGCAAUGGAGGAAACUCUGACGCAGUGACGCCGCGUAUAGGAAGAAGGUUUUCGGAUUGUAAACUAUUGUCGUUAGGGAAGAAAAAAAGACAGUACCUAAGGAGGAAGCUCCGGCUAACUACGUGCCAGCAGCCGCGGUAAUACGUAGGGAGCGAGCGUUAUCCGGAUUUACUGGGUGUAAAGGGAGCGUAGACGGCAGUGCAAGUCUGAAGUGA